rnacentral:rRNA from 1 species
AUUGAACGCUGGCGGCAUGCUUUACACAUGCAAGUCGAACGGUAACAGGUUAAGCUGACGAGUGGCGAACGGGUGAGUAAUGCAUCGGAACGUGCCCGGUCGUGGGGGAUAACGCAGCGAAAGCUGCGCUAAUACCGCAUACGAUCUGAGGAUGAAAGCGGGGGACCGUAAGGCCUCGCGCGAUCGGAGCGGCCGAUGUCAGAUUAGGUAGUUGGUGGGGUAAAGGCUCACCAAGCCAACGAUCUGUAGCUGGUCUGAGAGGACGACCAGCCACACUGGGACUGAGAAACGGCCCAGACUCCUACGGGAGGCAGCAGUGGGGAAUUUUGGACAAUGGGCGAAAGCCUGAUCCAGCAAUGCCGCGUGCAGGAAGAAGGCCUUCGGGUUGUAAACUGCUUUUGUACGGAGCGAAAAGGCUCUCUCUAAUACAGGGGGCUCAUGACGGUACCGUAAGAAUAAGCACCGGCUAACUACGUGCCAGCCGCCGCAGUAA